rnacentral:rRNA from 1 species
ACGGGAGGCAGCAGUGGGGAAUAUUGCACAAUGGGCGAAAGCCUGAUGCAGCGACGCCGCGUGAGCGAAGAAGUAUUUCGGUAUGUAAAGCUCUAUCAGCAGGGAAGAUAAUGACGGUACCUGACUAAGAAGCACCGGCUAAAUACGUGCCAGCAGCCGCGGUAAUACGUAUGGUGCAAGCGUUAUCCGGAUUUACUGGGUGUAAAGGGAGCGCAGGCGGUACGGCAAGUCUGAUGUGAAAGCCCGGGGCUCAACCCCGGUACUGCAUUGGAAACUGUCGAACUAGAGUGUCGGAGGGGUGAGUGGAGUUCCUAGUGUAGCGGUGAAAUGCGUAGAUAUUAGGAGGAACACCAGUGGCGAAGGCGGCUUUCUGGACUGUAACUGACACUGAGGCACGAAAGCGUGGGGAGCAAACAGGAUUAGAUACCCUGGUA